AUGACUGAAUAUAAACUUGUGGUAGUUGGAGCUGGUGGCGUAAGCAAGAGUGCCUUGACGAUACAGCUAAUUCAGAAUCAUUUUGUGGACGAAUAUGAUGCAACAAUAGAUGAGUCCUACAGGAAGCAAGUAGUAAUUGAUGGAGAAACCUGUCUCUUGGAUAUUCUCAACACAGCAGGUCAAGAAGAGUAUAAUGCAAUCCUCGAGGGACCAGUACAUGAAGAUAUGCACAAUUAUAGAGAAGAAAUAAAAAGAUUUAAGGACUCUGAAGAUGUGCCUAUGGUCCUAGAAGGAAAUAAAAUGUGAUUUGCCUUCUAGAAUAGUAGACACAAAACAGGCUCAGGACAUAGCAAGGAGUUAGGGGAUUCCUUUUAUUGAAACAUCAGCAAAGACAAGACAGGGUGUUAAUGAUGCCUUUUAUACAUUAGUUUGAGAAAUAAAGAAAAGAUGAGCAAAGAUGGUCAGAAGAAGAAAAAGAAGUCAAAGUGUGUAAUUAUAUAA